rnacentral:rRNA from 1 species
GACAGAGGUGGCAAGCGUUGUUCGGAUUUAUUGGGUGUAAAGGGCAGGUAGGUGGUUAUGUAAGUCUGGCGUGAAAUCCCAGGGCUCAACCCUGGAACUGCGUUGGAAACUACAUGACUUGAGUAUCGGAGAGGUGAGGGGAAUUCUCGGUGUAAGGGUGAAAUCUGUAGAUAUUUGGAGGAACACCGAUGGCGAAGGCAGCCCCCUGGGCGUAACACUGACGCUCAUGCACGAAAG